rnacentral:rRNA from 1 species
UACGUAGGGCGCAAGCGUUGUCCGGAAUUAUUGGGCGUAAAGGGCUCGAGUAGGCGGCCAACUAAGUCAUACGUGAAAUCCCUCGGCUUAACCGGGGAACUGCGUCUGAUACUGGAUGGCUUGAGAUUGGGAGAGGGAGUGCGGAAUUCCAGGUGUAGCGGUGAAAUGCGUAGAUAUCUGGAGGAACACCGGUGGCGAAGGCGGCAUCCUGGACCAACACUGACGCUGAGGAGCGAAAGCCAGGGGAGCAAACGGG